rnacentral:ncRNA from 1 species
UAAGGGGAAUCUGAAAACCUUUUUAAUAGAGUAGGAA